CCAACUGUCCCAGAUCCUUCACCUGGUUGCCACUUAUCACCCCUGAGGGAAACUGCAUCAACCAAUCCCUUAUACAAACUUUCCCCAUCUGCUCUCUGCUGGCCUGUUAAUAUUCAGUGAAUAGCUCACCCCAGUCAGGGGACCAGGGCCUCUCCCUUCCCUCCUCAUCCACCCCCAUGGGAAGGCCAUUCUCUGCACCUACCUCCUUUGUCUCCUGGGCUGCUGUUGCCAACUGGAUUUUACUCCUCCUGGUCUCGGUGAUGCCAGUACCAAUCACCGGGCAAUACCACCACCAUCUGCCUCUCCUGAUGUGUUACCAAGCCUGGAGCUCCUGCAUUUGACAUCCCGCAGCUCGGCUCCCUCCAGAGGUGGUGGAAUGAGGGGCGGUACUGAGCACAAAACAGGACCCUUAGGUGCCUUGUUCUCAAAUUCCAAAUUUGCAGGACAGGUUCUUGAGACAUGAGACUAUCCUGGAAAAAAGCAGGAUGUUUUGCAGUGCUGCCAGCCAUUGGGAAAGUGAGGUACAGAGCAGUGAAGUGUCAUCCACCACUCCAGCAGGCAUUGCACUGCAUCUUCUCACAUGUGUAGGCAAAACCAAGAUUAGCUGAGAAAAUUCAGAAAGAGAAGAUGGAAACAAUCAAAGUCAUCUUUCAUGUCUGACUACAAACACACUGGAAGUAAAGCCAAGACAAAGUAAUAGCAGAAGUCCAAAUUUCUCUUCUUGGGCAUGCAUUUGUUAAUAGUUGGCUGUGUUGCUAAGAAACAGCUGAAAUGCCCAGAAGAUGCUGAAGGAGUAACACUUUACCAUUUCCAUUAGUGAAGUCUUCUGGAGAACACUGGGUACUUAGGGAAUAUGCCAGGAGAAAGGGUACAUGAUCUGCAAAACAACAGAGUACAUUUGUAAGCAUCUUUUUGGGAGUCAGUACACUCCCUUUUCACUGUUCUCAAAACAUCUGCAAGCAACUUCCUCACCUUAAUUUCUGGAACUGAAGGUGGUAUCUCUGAACAUACAGCUCAUGAAAGAGACCUCCAGAGAACAGGGAGAGUUAUCACUUAUACAAAUUUCACUCUAAGGAACAUUAGAUACUGUAGAUAUAAUUCAUUAUUUGAAUAACAGAUUUUCCAAGCCCACAUUAACGUGUUUUGUACAUAAA